rnacentral:rRNA from 1 species
UGGGGAAUUUUCCGCAAUGGGUGAAAGCCUGACGGAGCAAUACCGCGUGAGGGAGGAAUGCCUUUGGGUUGUAAACCUCUUUUCUCAGGGAAGAAGAUCUGACGGUACCUGAGGAAUAAGUAUCGGCUAACUCCGUGCCAGCGGCCGCGGUAAUACGGAGGAUGCAAGCGUUAUCCGGAAUCAUUGGGCGUAAAGCGUCCGCAGGUGGUUCCCAAAGUCUGCUGUUAAAGACUGGAGCUCAACUCCGGAACGGCGGUGGAAACUUGGAAACUAGAGUUCGGUAGGGGUAGCAGGAAUUCCCAGUGUAGCGGUGAAAUGCGUAGAUAUUGGGAAGAACAUCGGUGGCGAAGGCGUGCUACUGGACCGUAACUGACACUCAGGGACGAAAGCUAGGGGAGCGAAAGGGAUUGGAUACCCCUGUAGUCCUAGCUGUAAACGAUGGAAACUAGGUGUGGCUNGA